rnacentral:rRNA from 1 species
UACCCGUGAAACUGCGAAUGGCUCAUUAAAUCAGUUAUCGUUUAUUUGAUAAUACCUUACUACUUGGAUAACCGUGGUAAUUCUAGAGCUAAUACAUGCUAAAAAUCCCGACUUCGGAAGGGAUGUGUUUAUUAGAUAAAAAACCAAUGCCCUUCGGGGCUUCUUGGUGAUUCAUGAUAACUUUACGGAUCGCAUAGCCUUGCGCUGGCGACGGUUCAUUCAAAUUUCUGCCCUAUCAACUUUCGAUGGUAAGGUAUUGGCUUACCAUGGUUUCAACGGGUAACGGGGAAUUAGGGUUCGAUUCCGGAGAGGGAGCCUGAGAAACGGCUACCACAUCCAAGGAAGGCAGCAGGCGCGCAAAUUACCCAAUCCCGACACGGGGAGGUAGUGACAAUAAAUACUGAUACAGGGCUCUUUUGGGUCUUGUAAUUGGAAUGAGUACAAUUUAAACCUCUUAACGAGGAACAAUUGGAGGGCAAGUCUGGUGCCAGCAGCCGCGGUAAUUCCAGCUCCAAUAGCGUAUAUUAAAGUUGUUGCAGUUAAAAAGCUCGUAGUUGAAACUUGGGCCUGGCUGGCGGGUCCGCCUCACCGCGUGCACUCGUCCGGCCGGGCCUUCCUUCUGAAGAACCUCAUGCCCUUCACUGGGCGUGUUGGGGAAUCAGGACUUUUACUUUGAAAAAAUUAGAGUGUUCAAAGCAGGCCUUUGCUCGAAUACGUUAGCAUGGAAUAAUAAAAUAGGGCGUGCGUUUCUAUUUUGUUGGUUUCUAGAGACGCCGCAAUGAUUAACAGGAACAGUCGGGGGCAUCAGUAUUCAGUUGUCAGAGGUGAAAUUCUUGGAUUUACUGAAGACUAACUACUGCGAAAGCAUUUGCCAAGGAUGUUUUCAUUAAUCAGUGAACGAAAGUCAGGGGAUCGAAGACGAUCAGAUACCGUCGUAGUCUUGACCGUAAACUAUGCCGACUAGGGAUCGGGCGAUGUUCU